rnacentral:rRNA from 1 species
CAGUCGCCACGGGAAUACGUAGGGUGCAAGCGUUAAUCGGAAUUACUGGGCGUAAAGCGUGCGCAGGCGGUUUGUUAAGACAGAUGUGAAAUCCCCGGGCUCAACCUGGGAACUGCAUUUGUGACUGGCAGGCUAGAGUAUGGCAGAGGGGGGUGGAAUUCCGCGUGUAGCAGUGAAAUGCGUAGAUAUGCGGAGGAACACCGAUGGCGAAGGCAGCCCCCUGGGCCAAUACUGACGCUCAUGCACGAAAGCGUGGGGAGCAAACAGGAUUAGAUACCCGUGUAGUCCCUGUCUCUUAUAC